rnacentral:rRNA from 1 species
GACGAACGCUGGCGGCGUGCCUAAUACAUGCAAGUUGAGCGCUUAAGGUUGGUACUUGUACCGACUGGAUGAGCAGCGAACGGGUGAGUAACGCUUGGUGAAUCUGCCUUUGAGCGGGGGACAACAUUUGGAAACGAAUGCUAAUACCUCAUAAUAACUUUAAACACAUGUUUUAAGUUUGAAAGAUGCAAUUGCAUCACUCAAAGAUGAUCCCGCGUUGUAUUAGCUAGUUGGUGAGGUAAAGGGUCACCAAGGCGAUGAUACAUAGCCGACCUGAGAGGGUGAUCGGCCACAUUGGGAAUGAGAAACGGCCCCAACUCCUUCGGGGAGGAGCAGGAGGGAAUCUUCGGCAAUUGAAGGAAGUCUGAACGAGCAACGGCGCGGGAGUGAAGAAGGUUUUCGGAUCGUAAAACUCUGUUGGUAGAGAAGAACGUUGGUGAGAGUGGAAAGCUCAUCAAGUGACGGUAACUACCCAGAAAGGGACGGCUAACUACGUG